AGCCGGACGCCAGCACCACGGAGGAGUAGGCUCUGGAGCCUUGCCCAUGGUGAACUGUGGAUGAUUGAGGAGGAGCCUUCUCUAUGGGUGUCAUCGGUGGUGCAGUCUUCCAGGCCAUCAAGGGUUUCCGCAAUGCUCCUGUUGGAAUUCGGCACCGUUGAGAGGUAGUGCCAGUGCUGUGAGGAUCCGAGCCCCCUAGAUUGGAGGCAGCUUUGCAGUGUGGGGGGGCCUGUUCUCCACCAUUGACUGUGGCCUGGUGCGGCUUCAGGGUAAGAAGGAUCCCUGGAACUCUAUCACCAGUGGAGUAUUGACCGGGGCUGUGCUGGCUGCCCACAGUGGUCCAUUGGCCAUGAUGGGCUCAGCGAUGAUGGAGGGCAUCCUGUUGGCCCUCAUUGAGGGUGUUGGCAUCCUCCUCACUCACUACACGGUCCAGCAGUUCCGAAAUGCACCCCCGUUCCUGGAGGACCCCAGCCAGCUGCCCCCUAAGGACAGUACCCCAGCCCCAGGCUAUCCCAGCUAUCAGAAGUACCACUGAGGAAGCCCCUGCCACCGUGGGAGCUGCUUCUUGGUUCCCUCCCCGAUGAUCUAUCUCGAAGGGAGGGCUGGCUCCCACUUAGCCCUGGGACCCUCCAGAGAGGACUUCUACUCUUCUCCCUAGUCCCAGGGUGGGGGUGGGGCACCCCAGCUGCCCUGACAGAUGGGUCCCCUUUUUCUCUCUCAGGACACCCCAGCCCCACACUCACAUGUACCAAGUUCUCACCCCAGCUCCUUUGUGUGGCACCCUGAUAAGAAUUUAAAGCCCGUUUUGAAGAAAAAAAAAUAAUAAAGCCCGUUUUGAAAUG